rnacentral:rRNA from 1 species
CAUUGACCUCGGAUCAGGUAGGGAUACCC